UACGUAGGUGGCAAGCGUUACUCGGAAUCACUAGGCGUAAAGCGCAGGUAGGCGGUUGGAUAAGUUUCUUGUGAAAGCUCCUGGCUUAACUGGGAGAGGUCAAGGAAUACUGUCUGACUUGAGUGUGGUAGGGGUAACUGGAAUUCCCGGUGUAGCGGUGAAAUGCGUAGAUAUCGGGAGGAAUACCUAUGGCGAAGGCAGCUCGCUGGGACGGUACUGACGCUGAGACGCGAAAGCGUGGGGAGCAAACAGG
rnacentral:rRNA from 1 species